GGAAAGUUAAAAGGAAACAACAUUAACGAAAUUUGAAAUUUUGCUUAUUCGCUCCAGUACUUCUCAUCAUCAACAUCUUUAUCAUGUUCCGACGAAUCCUCACUGUCCGAUUCAUUGACCAAACCCAUCUUGAAUCUCCUCACAUCUUCAACAGCAGCAUUCCUAAACAAUCCAACAUCAACAGCUCCGGCGACCAUAUGGUAACCACGUCCCCGAAUCUCACCAGCUCCGUCGUGCGGCAUCGCGAAACCCGACAAGUAAGCCCCGCCUUUCGCCGGAUCAGUGGUCAGCACAGAUUUCUCAGCCUUCUUCAUCAUCUCUCUCACUUUCUUAUGUCCAGGAUCCCACAAAUACCCUAAACUCGCACUAAGAUCCAACGGUCCC